rnacentral:rRNA from 1 species
AACCUGGUUGAUCCUGCCAGUAGUCAUAUGCUUGUCUCAAAGAUUAAGCCAUGCAUGUCUAAGUAUAAGUUUUUUACUGCGAAACUGUGAAUGGCUCAUUAUAACAGUUAUUAUUUACUAGCCGGUCAGUUAUUCCUUGGAUACCCAUGGUAAUUCUAGAGCUAAUACAUGCUUACAGACCCAACUUCACGGAAGGGUUGCGCUUAUUAGAUACCGAACCAACCCCGCAAGGGAUUUAGUUGAUUCAUAGUGUUCUGGCGAAUCGACAUUAGUCGAUGAGGCUAUCAAGUUUCUGACCUAUCAGCUUCCGACGGUAGGGUAUUGGCCUACCGUGGCUUUGACGGGUAACGGAGAAUUAGGGUUCGAUUCCGGAGAGGGAGCCUGAGAAACGGCUACCACAUCUAAGGAAGGCAGCAGGCGCGUAAAUUACCCAAUCCUGACACAGGGAGGUAGUGACAAGAAAUAUCAAUAUAAGACUUUUGUGUCUUGUAAUUGGGAUGAGCGGAACCUAAAUCGCUUCUCGAGUAUCAAUUGGAGGGCAAGUCUGGUGCCAGCAGCCGCGGUAAUUCCAGCUCCAAUAGC